GGGCUCUGCGGAGCUGCCGGACGUGUCCUUGGCGCAAGGGAGCGUGGGAUCGCGGAGGACCGAGAGCGCCUCGCUGGGGCUGCACACCUCCGGAGCAGGGCAAGGAGGGGUCACCACAGAGUGCACUGUUUGUGACUGGAACAUUGGGAAUGUUUCCACUGUGGAGAACCUGAUGGCACCAGGCAAUAGUAGUUCUCCCUGAAAUCUGAAUGCUUUCAAAAGAAAAUUGCAUCCCAUUCUGGCUGUACAUUCUCUGGAGCGCCAUCCUGUAAAUCCUUGUCAUGCCAUAAAGAUGUUGCAAUUAAUGAAGAAAACAAGCACAAUUAUAUCCUCUUCCAGCCUUCUCUCCGUUCCUCGGACACAACCAGCCCUCCCCUCAGAGCUGCUGUGCUUGCCAUUUCUUCAGGCCGGUCUCUCGCCCCUCACCUUUGCAGGGCCGCCUCAGGAGCUACCAGGUGUCUGCGUGAAGGUCACCUCUGCACAGGCCUUUCCUUGCAUCCAGAACGAGCGGGCCUCCCUCUCAAUCACACUCCAGUGCAUCACCCUGUUUGUCUUCGGAGCUCACAGAACAAGCACAGUUCUUUACAUGUUGUGAAGUUAUGCUCAUGAAAGGUUUCCUCUGUGUAACAGCCAGCCAGAAUGCAAGGACAAGAGCACAUUAUCUGACUCAUGACUCUUAUUUCCGAGGACCCAGAACCAUGCCUGGCACACAGGGAGUGCUCGGAUGUUUUGCUGAAUGAGUGAAUGAAUGCCACAGUGAUCGUUUCUUGCUAGCAGCCCGAGACAGGCUGCCGUUCCCAACACAGAAAGCACUGGAACGAUGGUGGGGGAGAACAGGGCACAGCAAAGGGUGGUAGCCCCGUUGAAAAAGCCCUCCCAGCACGGGGGUGGCCAACAGACUUCUGGGGCAGGGAUAUCAAACAAGCAAAGGGAAGGGAGCGAGGAGAAUGUUAGGGAGCACCCGGGGGGUGGGAAAGACCCAAAGGAGGCCUGCUAGGACCAGUGUGUAAAGGGGAAACGUCGAGAGAGUAGGUCAGCCCAACCCAAAUUACUUAAUGAACUUUUUUUUUUUUUUUAAGAUUUUAUUUAUUUGACAGAGAUCACAAGUAGGCAGAGAAGCAGG